GUGCUCGCUUCCGCAGCAUAUAUACUAAAAUUGGAACAAUAUAGAGAAGAUUAGCAUGGCCCCUGCACAAGGAUGACACACAAAUUCAUGAAGCGUUCCAUAUUUUG
rnacentral:snRNA from 1 species